rnacentral:rRNA from 1 species
AGAGUUUGAUCAUGGCUCAGAACGAACGCUGGCGGCGUGGAUAAGACAUGCAAGUCGUGCGGAGGCUUGCGGGUAGCAAUACUUGCAGNCCUUAGCGGUGAACGGGUGAGUAACACGUGGGUAAUCUGCCGCGAAGACUGGGAUAGCCCGUCGAAAGACGGGCUAAUACCGGAUGUGGUCCGCGAGGGGUCGCCCUUGCGGACUGAAGCCGGGGACCUUCGGGCCUGGCGCUUCGCGAUGAGCCCGCGGCCUAUCAGCUAGUUGGCAGGGUAACGGCCUACCAAGGCGAUGACGGGUAGCUGGUCUGAGAGGAUGGUCAGCCACACUGGGACUGAGACACGGCCCAGACACCUACGGGUGGCAGCAGUCGAGAAUNUUUCACAAUGGGCGCAAGCCUGAUGGAGCGACGCCGCGUGGGGGAUGAAGGGCUUCGGCUUGUAAACCCCUGUCAUCCGUGAGCAAAGCCUCCGGCCGAACAGGCCGAGCGNG